AUAAGAGGAUAAAAAUCCAGAGACCAUAAACGGCAAAAAAAGAAGGCCCAAACUAGCAAAACUCGGAAUAACGGUUUGACGCCGUUCUCCGUGCAAGAUAUUUCAACAACUCGCUCUUUGUAGAACGGGAAUAAAAAAUAAACCAGGCUUCUUUUCUAAUGGCCAGAGGCGGCCGCGAUCUUGUCUAGACGGCGGAGCGCCGCCUCACCGUCAUCUGCUCCCACCUCCGCCCGCCCGCUGCCGCCGCGCCGAUGGCGGCGCUCCUCCGAGCCGCCCGCGGUCUCCGCUUCUUGCUGCCGUGCGGGCAGAGGCGAGGCGGGCGGGGAGGAAGGGGGCGGGAAGAAGCGCUGCGUCUUCUGUGAGAUCAUUCGAGGUGAAUCCCCUGCUUGCAAGCCUUAUGAAGAUGAUGUAUGCCUAUGCAUUUUGGAUUCCAAUCCAUUGAAUUAUGGUUAAGAUUCUUUCAAUUUGCCAAUCAACAACGGAUUAGCUACAGGACAAGUAAUAUUUCAUGCUCAUUUCCACAUAAUUCCUCGUAAAGCAGAUGACCUGCUAUGGUCUUCUGAGGUGAGAGGAUUCACACUACAUUCGUCUUGGCUUAACUUAUUCCGUUGACUUUUAAACACAAAAUUUUCAGUGUUGCUGUCAAUCUUGUGAAUUGCAUUCAAGAAUGGCUUUCUUCUCUUUCUAGUGAUAGUUGCAGAACUCUGGACUUCUGCUUCCAAAAUGUGUACAAGCUUAGGGGUCUCAAUUUGUGUUUUAUGUACACUAGGCUCUCUUAAAUAUUUGUUCAAAUAAUAUCUAUUCAGGUUAAUUUUAGGAAAUUAAUUAUUUCGUAACUUUUGUGACAGUGACAAUGAAUCUCAAAGUGAUCAAUAUUGUAAGAAACAGUGGUUAAGGUGGUAAAGGGACAGUCCACAGGCCAUAUGUCCGAAACAGUGGUUCCUAUCCAGAAAGCGAUUCUAUGUUAAUUUUUCCAGUUAUUGUUAAGGUGGUAAAGGGACAGUCCACAGGCCAUAUGUCCGAAACAGUGGUUCCUCUCCAGAAAGCGAUACUAAUCAGAAAAAAGUUUAGGUCUUGUUUUGUAUUUUGCUUUUGUUUUCUGGUUUUGUUUUCAAGAAUUCAAGAAGAAAAUUGAACUAGACUAGACAAACAUGUAUCCCAAAAUGUUUUUAUGUUUUAAAUUGUCUGUAUAAAUUUAAGUACUUAA